CAGAGGGACUAUCCUGCCAGUCUGCCACAGGGACCAUCCUGCCAGUCAGUCACAGGGACCAGCCUGUUGCAGAGGGGCCAUACAACCGGGCUGCCAAGAGCUAUACUGACAAGCCGUGGACAGAUGCUAGUGCUUUUGUUUGACUAUGCUUCAGAGAAACUCACCUCCUGGAUCCAGGUGUGUUGUUUAUCUGGUUACCAUGGGGCCCGCCGUCACAUCCGAGUUGGUUUGAGCAGUGACCGGAUGCAUAAGCAGGGCGUGUACCACUGGCAGCGGGUGUCUAUAAAAUUGAUCAAUUUUGUCUAGAUCAUUGACAACAUGGAGCUCUAUCUCAAUCAUGAUCAUUCAUCCAGGAUUCCGGGAAGUUCAAGGGAAAAUAAUGAACAAUAUCGUUCAUAUCGUCCAGUGUGGCACGACAGUGAUAUAAAUGUGGCUUGUACAAUACACUGUUUAAU